rnacentral:rRNA from 1 species
AAUGAACGCUGGCGGCAUGGCUAAGACAUGCAAGUCGAACGGACAUCGUAAUUGGGUAACCGAAAGCGGUGUUAGUGGCGAAAGGGUGAGGAAUAGACAGGUAACGUACCCCGGGCUUCGGAAUAGCUCAUCGAAAGGUGAGGUAAUACCGGAUAAUGUCAUUUGUAUAAUGCAGAUGACCAAAGAUUUAUCGGCAAGGGAGCGGCCUGUUUCCUAUCAGCUAGUUGGUGAGGUAACGGCCCACCAAGGCGACGACGGGUAGCGGGACUGAGAGGUUGGCCCGCCACAUCGGGACUGAGACACUGCCCGGACCUCCACGGAGGGCUGCAGUAACGAAUAUUGGGCAAUGGGCGAAAGCCUGACCCAGCAAUGCCGCGUGCAGGAUGAAGUCCUUCGGGAUGUAAACUGCUUUCAGGGGUUAGAAAGUUUCGGCUGAUCAGCCCCAGAAGAAGUCACGGCUAACUUCGUG